rfam:Gossypium arboreum cultivar AKA8401 contig_30703_1, whole genome shotgun sequence.
UGUUAAAAAUUUCGUCCAUUUCUACCGUUAAAAACCAGCAUGGCUAAUAGAAUAAUUUGGUAGUUACACAUUAUGUGCCAUGUGUACCUCAUUUUGACAUACAUGGACUGAUUUUAAUGGUAGAAUUGGAUGGGAUUUUUAACA